AAACCUCUAAAAUUUUGAGGCGAUUCUGAGGCGACUUUUGGGUUUAUUUUUGGUUAUUCCAAUUUUUUCGGACUUACCUUUUUUGGUAGGUUUACGACCGUUUGCGAGGCUGGGAUGAGCGGAGGCCAUGGCUUUGUCGUUGGAUUGACCCUCAGAGGGGUUG